AUGUGUGAUCAUUCACCCCAUAGACACCCACCCCCCCUCUCUGCACCCUCUUCACCCCACAAACCUUCCUCACCUUUCCUCCUCUCUUCCCUCUGUUCAUCUUCACCUCUCCCUGCUACUUUUUUUUUUUUUUUUUUCUCUCAGCGUCCCCCUUUCCCAUCACCCAUCAUUCUUUCCUCUCACCGCUCACCCUCACCACCACCACCAUCUUCCUCUUCACAUUCACCCCCUCCUCCAUCUCCCGCGCCCCCCUCAUCCGUCACCAUCACCCUCACCGCCACCAGCUGCCGAAAACACGUUUGACUCAAGUCGUUCAACACUCAUACUUUAUCAAUCAGAGGAAGAAGACUACAACCUUCCAUCGCCACCACCCUCUGAUGAAGACUACGUCAUCUGGCGUGCAUCAGCGAUAAGCAUGACUCGGCUGCCUCUACAAAUGUAUCAUGCACUGUGAUGCGUGGGGCAGUGUGGUGUGGACACGCGGGAGAGGAACGACUGACCACUGGCCAGUCCUCGACGGAAGCACACUCCUGUUUGUGGUGAGUAGUGAUUACAGAACUUUUACAGUAAUAUGUUGCUGUU